rnacentral:tRNA from 1 species
GCCUGGGUGGCUCAGUCGGUUAAAGCGUCCGACUUCAGCUUGGGUCAUGAUCUCACAGUUUGUGAGUUCGAGCCCCAUGUCAGGCU